CGGUAGGUGUGCUGGUGUGCUUAUGCACGCCCCCUUUACAGACCUCUUAGGAAUGGGGUGAGGUCCAUAGUAGACCUCUGAAUUAAGAAAACCUUCUUAAAAUUAGAUCAACUCAACAUAUCUAGUCAUGUAAAACCAAAACCAGGUUAAAAGCGAGGAGCUCAAGCCAAGAGUAUUAUUUUCCCACUUUGGUUUCUUGAGUCAGGGAGAUUCUGGAAAACAGGCUUCAGUUGUUCCCUUUACUUACAUCCCUUUUUCUCUCUUCUAGGGCAUUUCUCAGCUGCUUCUCCUGUUUCGGAGGGAGAAGGGAGAAGGUGAAGGGCCCAGCAGCUGAUGCUCCCAGUUCUCCAGCCUGCCGACUGGAGGACGUCACCAAGGCUCCCAAGAGGACAUCUGUGACUUUUACUGUGGAUGUGGAGCUGCAGAAAAAAGAGCGAUGUGGAUUUGAAAGAAGAAGAUCCUCUUCACCAAAAGGGAGAUCAAAAGUGAAGAGAACGUACUCCAUCAAGCUGCCUGUCGUAAAAGGGACCAACAGAGGAGCCAGAAACUAUGGGAAGAGGUCCAGGAGAGGAUGAAGAAGACAGACCAACCAAUAGCAGGAACGCAGCAGCAUCCAAGGCCUCUCUUCCAUCGCCACUCUGUUUAGGCAGAAGCAGAGUGGGCAAAUGGCAAACAAACAGAUCCCAUCUCUGAAGCUCUUUCCAUCCUUCCUGCAUCUCC